rnacentral:rRNA from 1 species
UAGAGGAAACACUCCUUUCCAUUCCGAACAGGAAAGUUAAGCUCUACAGCGCUAAUGGUACUGCACGGGCAGCUGUGUGGGAGAGUAGGACGUCGCCAGGU